UACGUAGGCAGCGAGCGUUGUUCGGAUUUACUGGGCGUAAAGCGCACGUAGGCGGAUCGUUAAGUCGGGGGGUGAAAUCCUGGAGCUCAACUCCAGAACUGCCUUCGAUACUGGCGAUCUUGAGUCCGGAAGAGGUGAGUGGAAUUCCUAGUGUAGAGGUGGAAUUCGUAGAUAUUUAGGAAGAACACCAGUGGCGAAGGCGGCUCACUGGUCCGGUACUGACGCUGAGGUGCGAAAGCGUGGGGAGCAAACAGG
rnacentral:rRNA from 1 species